CAGAGAGUUCUUCAGCUCCCUAUACCCACUGUGAACCUACCUCCUGACCUUUCUUUUGCCUCGGCAGGCGCUCCCCGGGGGGGAGCCCUGCGGCCUCGCGGCAGCGAGGUGCCUGCCGGCGGCGCCAAACUCGUUUGUCUCUGUAGUGUUACUCCGAGAGCACCUGAGAAAUCAGAUCA
rnacentral:misc_RNA from 1 species